rnacentral:misc_RNA from 1 species
CUUUCCUGUGUUGCAUACCUAUUGCGAGGGCAUUCGGUUGGCUAAAAAUGGUCCCAACUCCGCCUUGUGUCGGCGCUCCGUGCGGGCGUACGGUGCGGGGUGGAUCUCACGGCGUCCGUCGUGUUUCGCGCCGCAUUCACCUUCUUGGUGUUUGGGUAGGCGACCCAUGACGUGAUGCGCGUUGUCUCGGGUACGGAACAUCGGGUGGGUUCGAGGCAUCGUCCUCCGAUCACCACACAAAUGCGUUCUACGCUUUAAGCGAACGACGGCCGCACACGAGCUUCGGCGGAGCACUCGCUGUUCGGUCGGAUCCGUGUCGGCGUCGGUGAGGGAUGC